AAUUAAGUCAAAUUUACUGAAAAAUCAAUUUAUGCUGUGUAUUUCAGUGUGUUUAAUGCCAGGACUGAUCAGCAAAUUGGUGCACUUGAUUAGCUACUUAGCAGACUAUGCUAAUUGGCUAAGCUAACCACGUGUUACUAAAACCGUCUCCUAUUUCAUCAAUGACGAUUUAACAAUUCACAUGCAAGCUUAAAGCGAUAAAAAGACCAGCUUUAUGAUUUUUAUUUUAUAAAUCUCGUUUGAGGCCGAUUUUUGGGCUUCACUAUGUUCAUCGAAGGGGCUGCAUGUCCGAACUUGUCCCUACACGCAGACGGGCGUUUCGCGUGUCUAUUUGUCGGUGUGACCGGUGUACCACUGUAUUUGGUGACCCAUCAUCAGAUUAUGUGACCUGCAGUGUUUUCGGAAAAGGUAUUUUUGGAUAAUUUACUUAAUUAAAAGUUUAUAAGUAUUUGAAGUACUAAGUUAAAGCUAAAGCACAAAAUGGCUUUUCCCGCAGUCUGCCCAUUCCCGCCGUCCGCCCAUUCUGACACACAUCGUAACUAAAUACAUUUUUAACAUUUUACCUGCGAUCAAAACAUUUAACAUAUCUACACACUUGUAUCUUCAAUAAAAUAAUUUAUACUUUAUUCAGAAUCACGGUUUGAGUUCCAUAUCGCUUAGUUUUCAGUUGAUGGCAUUGGACAGUGAGUACGUCAAUCAAACCGUCAUACUGCACUCCCCCUUCCCCUCACCCGUUCGUGACCGCUUCGUGCACGUACUCAAAGCUCGUGACCCAGAGCAAGCUUCUGUUUGUUGUUAUCCUGCGGUAGCUACUGGAGCUAGCUAACUAGCUAAUCCACAUUUGGAACUAGAAGACAACCCUAAACUCCCACCUAGCUAGCCUGGCUCGCUCUUGCGCAUCUGUGUUCGCGCUUGUGCAUGAUUGUGCGUCCAUGUACUUGGAAUGGGUGGAGUCAGCGUUGAAGGAGAGGGACCAUUCGAGUUGUGUGUUUUCAAAAUCUGCUGGCGUUUCGCAAAUCCCAUACCCAACCAUUAAAAACUCAACUUCACAGUCGCACCAACGUGAACCGCUAGCCGUCAUGUUUAUUGUUUAAUGGGAAAGAAGGCUCGCAUGGACUAUACGUCAUCCAGCUCAGGUUGCGUAGCCGUGCGUGUGCGUGUGUCGGGUCAUUAGCAUCUGCACCGUGGCCUGAGCACACCUCCCAAGUGUGCUCAGGCCAAGGAAGGGAAGUGGACUUGAGUACGGUUGGUGCACUCACACUAGCCAAACAAUCUAGACUUGAGCAAGGUACAGGUGUGCGAUGCACUCUCACACACACACAUAUUCUAGUUUUUACCGUUCUUCCAUUUAAAUGUUUAUUUACUUUGUCAAACUUCCUUGCAUGUCUCAGUAAAAAUGCUGGUCCAGGUGAGGUACGGCCAACAGCAGAAAUAUGUGAAGUUGGAGGAGGAUGAAGGACGGUUUGACUUCCUGCAAUUCCAUGAAAAAGUCAUCGAGAGAUUUUGCCUGCCCACUGAUGCUAAAGUUACAUACAAGGAUGCAACAGGGACAGAAGUUGAUGAAGAAAUAUUCAGCGACCUCGUUGGACAAGGCAAUGUGGUGCUGACAGUUUUCUCAGAUCAGGAAUUCUCUGACAGCUCCUUAUGUUCUGCUUCUGGGCUGUCUGACUCAAGCUUCAGCUCAAGUACAUCAACUGUGAUCAUAGAUGAGGUCUAUAGCAAGAGACAAAGAAUCGAGGAUACACGUGAUCGUGAUGCUGCGUCUGCCGAACAGGUUUCUUAAUACUUCUUAAUACAUUUUUACACUCUUGAGUCUUUAGAAAGAUUUUUAUCCGCAUGUUUGUUAUUCUCAUGUUUUUGUUUUUUAUUAGUUGAUUGAAGCUGUGCUGAGAGGCAAAUCCGGAGGUGAAGAAGUACUACAGGAGUACCAAACAACAGAAACCCUGACAGAUGCUGCAAGAAGACAAAUGGUUAACAUCCUGGUGGCUCACAUGAUUGACAAUCAUGGGCACCUUCCCACUAAAGAAACCAGAGAGGAUUAUGCACAUGGGAUAGUGAUGCUGUUCCCUUCCCUCAGGGAUCCAUAUUCCAAGAAGGGCUAUGUAAUAGUCAUUAUUAUUGUUUACACUUUCAUGUAAUGAUAAAAAACUGUGUGGAUGACAUUGAUAUUUGAAUUCCGUGAGAUUGCUCAUGAGCCUGGUAUGAUAACACAUUUCAUUUAUUUUUCAUUUCAGGAACACUUCUAUGAUUCUGCAAGAAGCACAGGAUACAUUUCUUGGCGUCUGAAAACAGUCCAGAGGAAGAUUCGUCAAGGAUCUGCAGUGCCACCAAAUAGCGCUAUUUGCUUUUCUCCAGGAGGCCCAAAUUUCCAAAGAACUGUUCAUGUUGAAAGGCAGCUUGA